rnacentral:tRNA from 1 species
GGUGGCUCAGUGGUAGAGUGCUUGCCUUGCAUGCUGGAAGCCCUUGGGUUCAAUUCCCCAGCACCA